AGAGACAGUACCGCAAGGGAAAGAUGAAAUAAAAAUUUAACACAAAAGUAUAACACAGCAAAGAUUAACCCUUUUACCUUUUGCAUUAUGGUUUAGCCAAACACAAUCAUGGCAAAGAGCACUAAAGUCACCUACACCCGAAUCUGGGCGAGCUACUAUGCAGCAGAAGUAACACAGCACUAACCCAUCUCUGUAGCAAAAGAGCGGGAAGACUGCCUAGUAGAAGUGAAAAGCCUAACGAGCCCAGUGAUAGCUGGUUGCUUGGGAACAGAAUAUAAGUUCUACUGAAAGCCUUCUGAUUUACCACCAGCAAAGGACAAAGAAAGCUUUCAAGCUAUUUAAUGGGGGUACAGCCCCAUUAACACAGGACUCAACCUCUACCUAAGGGUAAAACUAAUUUGCACUUUAAAUGUAGGCUUUAAAGCAGCCAACACAACGAAAGCGUCAAAGCUCGCUCCAAAAAAAUACCUACAACAAAAUUAAACCCUACAACAUUACCAAGCCCUCCUAGAACACUAGAAGAGAUUAUGCUAAAAUUAGUAAUAAGAAACUUGAUCUUCUCCUAAGCGCGAGCCUACACUACUCAUGACAUACUAUUGGUAAUUAACGCCCCGCCCAACUACCACAAACAUAAGGGCCACACACUGUUAACCCAACACAGGAGCGCGACAGGAAAGGCUAAACCCUGCAAAAGGAACUCGGCAAACAAAGAUUCCGACUGUUUACCAAAAACACAGCCCCCAGCCAACCAAGUAUUGGGGGUGAUGCCUGCCCAAUGACUUUAAGUUAAAUGGCCGCGGUAUCUACAACCGUGCGAAGGUAGCGUAAUCAUUUGUUCUUUAAAUAAGGACCAGUAUGAAAGGCUAAACGAGAAUCUAUCUGUCUCUUGCAGAAGGCCAGUGAAAUUGAUCUCCCUGUGCAAAAGCAGGGAUGACAACAUUAGACGAGAAGACCCUGUGAAACUUUAAACUUCUAAGUCACAACAAAUUGUAAAAUACCACCCCACACGGGCCAACUACAAUUAACACAUUGAUUUAGCGUUUUCGGUUGGGGCGACCCCAAAAUAAAAAAAACUUUCCAGGAAAACAGUAACACGACAUUUACUAACCAAGACCCACACCACAAAGUGCUUAAAUGCAAUCAGAUCCGGCACACGCCGAUCCAUGAACUAAGCUACUCCAGGGAUAACAGCGCAAUCCCCUUCAAGAGCCCGUAUCGACAGGGGGGUUUACGACCUCGAUGUUGGAUCAGGACAUCCUAAUGGUGUAACCGCUAUUAACGGUUCGUUUGUUCAACGAUUAAAGUCCUACGUGAUCUGAGUUCAGACCGGAGUAAUCCAGGUCGGUUUCUAUCUAUGAGUGCGAACCUUUCUAGUACGAAAGGACCGAAAGAACAAGGCCCAUGCCAUUAAAGUAAGCCUUACCUAAAGCUUAAUGAAGACAACUAAAUUAACAACCAGGACAAUCACACCCCGCCUCAAUAUAAGGGCAAGCUGGGUUGGCAGAGCCUGGCUUAAUGCAAAAGACCUAAGCCCUUUUAUCCAGAGAUUCAAAUUCUCUACCCAGCAAUAAGCUUUUUAACAGCCACACCCAUUCUUAUCUAUAUCGUCUCAGUCCUAAUCGCAGUCGCAUUCCUGACAGGGCUAGAGCGAAAAAUCAUUGGCUACAUGCAACUACGUAAAGGCCCCAAUAUUGUGGGCCCUUUCGGGCUGCUACAACCAUUUGCUGAUGGCCUCAAGCUUAUUAUUAAAGAACUAACAUUGCCCCUACUCGCCACCCCUGCUUUAUUUAUUCUGUCCCCCACAGUCGCCAUUAUUUUAUCCCUAAUCAUAUGAACCCCCCUACCCGUACCAUUUUCUAUCGCCAAUCUAAACCUUGGCAUAUUAUUUUUAUUAGCCAUAUCCAGCUUAGCAGUUUACUCGCUACUAUGGUCCGGGUGAGCAUCAAACUCUAAAUACGCCCUAAUAGGCGCCCUACGAGCAGUAGCCCAAACCAUUUCCUAUGAAGUCACAUUAGCCAUCAUUGUUUUAUCUGUUGUCCUGCUUAGCGGCGGAUUUUCACUUCAUGCACUGGCUAUUACCCAAGAACCCGCCUACCUGGCACUAACCACAUGACCACUACUAAUAAUAUGAUACACCUCAACACUAGCAGAGACAAACCGCGCCCCGUUUGAUCUUACAGAAGGUGAGUCAGAACUAGUAUCUGGAUUCAACGUUGAAUACAGCGCAGGGCUGUUCACACUAUUCUUCCUGGCCGAGUACGCCAACAUUCUACUAAUAAAUACUUUAACCACCAUCCUAUUCCUAAACACAUCAACAAACUUGCCAACACAAACACUAUUCACCACCACCCUAAUAAGCAAAUCAAUUCUACUAACCAUCGGAUUCCUAUGAAUCCGAGCAUCAUACCCGCGAUUCCGGUAUGAUCAAUUAAUACACCUACUGUGAAAAAACUUCUUGCCAGCCACGCUGGCAAUCUGCCUGUGACACUCGUCGCUCCCGAUGUCAACACUAGGCCUUCCAGUAGCAAGGAUUCGUGCCUGAACGCCAAAGGGCUACUUUGAUGAGGUAGAAAGUGGAGGUUUAAAUCCUCCCGAAUCCUAGAGGAGCAGGAAUUGAACCUGCACAAAAGAAUCCAAAAUUCUCCCUACUUCCAUUGUAGUAUCCCCUAACAGAAGAGUAAGCUAACCAAAGCUAUUGGGUCCAUACCCCAACAAUGAGGGGCAAUCCUUCCUCUCCUAACUCAUGCCCAUCUUCCAACCAAUCAUCUUAACCACACUAACCAUUACAACACUCAUUUUCUUAUCAUCCACCCACCUGGUACUCAUGUGAGUAGCACUAGAACUUAACACACUAGUGGUCCUACCAUUGAUUGCCAAUAAAUCGCACCCACGAUCCAUCGAAGCCUCCACAAAGUACUUCCUCACACAAGCCGCUGCUUCUGCCUUAAUCAUCUUCUCAUGGACCUUAAACUAUAUCACAACUGGGGGCGGCCAAAUUACAGAAGUAACAAACCAAGUCCUCACAACUAUUAUAACCCUGGCCCUCUUUAUCAAAAUUGGACUGGUGCCAUUCCACUUCUGAGUACCUGAGACCAUUCAAGGAAUAGCCCCAACCGCCUCCAUCUUCCUACUUACCUGACAAAAACUAGGCCCACUAAUCAUACUAUACCUAAUAAGCCCACUAAUUAAUUUCGAGGUUCUCUCUGCGGUGUCUAUCCUCUCCGCCACAGUCGCCGGCUGACUUGGACUUAACCAAACCCAAAUCCGGAAACUAGUAGCAUUCUCCUCAAUUGCCCAAAUAUCCUGAACACUGGUGAUUAUUAAAUACGCACCAUCACUUACAAUCUUAGCCUUCUACCUAUAUUCAAUCACAAUCUCCGCUACACUUCUCACGUUAGAAAAACUAUCAACAACAUCCAUUAACAACCUCCUACUUUCAUUCCAAAAAGCCCCAGUUACUUCCUUACUGCUAACAAUCUCCCUAUUAUCAUUAUCAGGCCUGCCCCCACUGGCCGGCUUCCUUCCAAAAUGAUUAACAAUUGACCAGCUAGUGGCAGAAGGAGCAAUUUGAGUCGCAUUCACAAUACUCAUAGCCUCCCUUCUAAGCCUGUUCUUUUACCUACGACUAUGAUACAACUCCGCAUCCACCCUUCCUCCUAACACUAUUAAUACCCAACGCCUAUGACGCAAACCGACUCAACAAACUAACCUCACAAUCAACUCCCUGGCUAUAGCCGCCCUCACCCUAAUCCUAGCAGCCACCAUAAUAAAAGCCAUUACAAAACAAGAGGCCUAUUAAAAGAAAUUAGGUUCAAUCUUCAAGCCAAGGGCCUUCAAAGCCCUAGAUAGGAGUUAGCAAUCUCCUAUUUCUUGAAUAAGGUUUAUAGGGUUUUAUCCUACAUCUUCUGAAUGCAAAUCAUAAACUUUUAUUAAGCUAAAACCUCACUAGGCAAAUGGGCCUCGAUCCCAUAAAUUAUUAGUUAACAGCUAAUUACUCUAACCUGCUAGUUUUUACCUAAAUAUUAAACCCAGGUACAAUUUAAAGUACAUCUACGAGUUUGCAGUUCGUCGUGAAUUUCACUACAGGGCCUGGUAAAAAGAGGAUUUGAACCUCUGUAAAUGGGUUUACAGCCCACUGCCAUCACACUCGGCCAUUCUACCAGUGAACAUUAAUCGUUGACUAUUUUCCACUAACCACAAAGAUAUCGGCACCUUAUAUUUUAUUUUCGGCGCCUGAGCUGGAAUAGUAGGCACAGCCAUAAGCCUAUUAAUCCGGACAGAGCUCAGCCAGCCUGGUCCAUUCAUAGGGGAUGACCAAAUUUAUAAUGUUAUUGUCACAGCACAUGCCUUUAUCAUAAUUUUCUUUAUAGUUAUACCGAUCAUGAUCGGCGGAUUUGGAAAUUGGCUACUCCCACUAAUAAUUGGAGCACCCGACAUAGCAUUUCCACGCAUAAACAACAUAAGCUUCUGACUGCUACCCCCAUCAUUUACCCUACUUCUCUCUUCAGCCUUUAUUGAAACUGGAGCUGGCACCGGAUGAACAGUCUACCCACCCCUAGCUGGAAACCUAGCCCACGCCGGACCAUCAGUAGACUUGACCAUCUUCUCCCUCCACCUUGCUGGAGUAUCAUCCAUCCUUGGAGCAAUUAACUUUAUUACCACGGCCAUUAAUAUGAAACCCCCAGCAAUAUCACAACAACAGACGCCUCUUUUCGUAUGAUCUAUUCUAGUUACAGCCGUUCUCCUACUGCUCUCACUACCAGUCCUAGCUGCAGGAAUUACCAUAUUACUCACUGAUCGAAACCUGAACACCACCUUCUUUGACCCCGCAGGAGGAGGAGACCCAAUCCUAUACCAACACCUUUUCUGAUUCUUCGGCCACCCAGAAGUAUACAUCCUCAUCCUACCAGGGUUUGGAAUAAUCUCCCAUGUAAUCACCUUCUACUCAAGUAAAAAAGAACCAUUUGGCUACAUAGGAAUAGUCUGAGCCAUGAUAUCAAUCGGCUUUCUCGGAUUCAUCGUCUGAGCCCACCACAUAUUUACAGUAGGAAUAGACGUUGACACCCGAGCAUACUUCACAUCCGCCACAAUAAUUAUCGCCAUCCCCACCGGCGUAAAAGUGUUCAGCUGAUUAGCCACUAUUUACGGAGGAGUAGUGAAAUGACAAGCCCCCAUGCUCUGAGCACUCGGCUUCAUUUUCUUAUUCACAGUCGGAGGACUAACAGGAAUUGUACUAGCUAACUCAUCACUAGACAUUAUUCUCCACGAUACCUACUACGUAGUAGCCCACUUCCACUAUGUACUAUCUAUGGGGGCAGUAUUCGCCAUCAUAAGCGGAUUCACUCACUGGUUCCCACUAUUUACAGGAUUUACCCUCCACCACACAUGAACAAAAAUCCAAUUCAUAAUCAUAUUCACGGGUGUAAACCUAACCUUCUUCCCACAACACUUCCUGGGCCUGUCAGGGAUACCACGACGAUAUUCCGACUACCCAGAUGCAUAUGCCUUCUGAAAUAUAAUCUCCUCAAUCGGAUCAUUAGUUUCCAUAGUAUCAGUCGUCCUACUCACAUUUAUUGUAUGAGAGGCAUUUUCAUCAAAACGAAAAGUCCAAGUGCCUGAAAUAGCAAGUACAAACGUAGAAUGACUAAACAACUGCCCACCGUCAUACCACACCUACGAAGAGCCAGUCUUUGUUCAAGUACGAAAAAAACUAACGUAAGCAAUGCCCCACCCUGAUACUAAGGACAGGGGGAGUUGAACCCCCACCACUUGGUUUCAAGCCAAUCGCAAUACGACAUGCUCUGUCCUCCAAGAAGAGUUAGUAUACACAUAUUACCCGCCCUUGUCAAGGGCGAAAUAUAGGACCAAAUCCUUUACUCUUCUAUGGCAAACCCAAUACACCUAGGACUCCAAGAUGCAAUAUCCCCGCUAAUAGAAGAACUACUCUAUUUUCAUGACCACACACUAAUAAUUAUUUUUUUAAUCAGCAUAUUUGUACUAUACACAAUCUCAGUUUUAUUACUAACAAGCCUAUACCACACAAAUGCAACAGAUGUACAAGAAAUAGAGAUAAUCUGAACCAUUCUGCCAGCCCUAAUCCUAAUUACAAUCGCCCUUCCAUCUCUACGCACGCUAUACCUUAUAGACGAAACCACCAACCCCUGCCUAACCAUUAAAGUUAUCGGGCAUCAAUGGUAUUGAACAUAUGAAUAUACAGACUUUUCCCAGCUGGAAUUCGACUCUUACAUGCUACCAACACAAGACCUGCCUCAAGGUCACUUCCGCCUUUUAGAAGUAGACCACCGCAUGAUUGUUCCAACAAGCUCAAGCACCCGAACAUUAAUCACAGCUGAAGACGUCCUACACUCAUGAGCAGUACCAUCCCUAGGGAUCAAAAUAGACGCAGUACCUGGACGACUAAACCAAACCUCACUAACAUCCCCCAAUCCUGGGGUAUUCUAUGGCCAAUGUUCUGAAAUCUGCGGAGCAAACCAUAGUUUUAUGCCUAUUGUCGUAGAAGCUGUCCCUAUACAGCACUUCCAAAACUGAUUAAAAACAAACUCAUAAGCACUAAGAAGCUAAACCGGCCAAAGCCCUAGCCUUUUAAGCUAGCAUUGGGGACCACGCCAACCCCCUUAGUGACAUGCCCCAAUUAAACCCCGAACCUUGAUUAAUAAUCUUAUCCAUUACAUGGCUAGUACUCAUUACUAGUUUACAGCCAAAAAUUGCCUCUCUAAAGUUCAUAAAUAGCCCAAGCAGCCCCGCCCAAAAAACCACUAAAACAUGACCCUGACCACAAAUCUAAAUUUAUUUGACCAAUUCUUAGUCCCCCAACUACUUGGCAUACCACUACUAAUCCCAGCCAUGUUAUUAACAACAGUACUAAUCUAUAACCCGCAAGAUCGCUGACUAUCAAACCCUUUAACAACCCUACAGUCCUGACUAAUUGCAAAAGCCACCAAACAGAUCAUAACCCCAGUAAAUAAGCCAGGACAUAAGUGAUCAUUAAUACUGAUCUCACUACUAACAAUGCUUAUUCUCAACAACCUUUUAGGCCUUCUCCCAUACACGUUUACACCAACAACUCAGCUGUCUAUAAAUAUAGCCCUGGCCCUCCCACUGUGGCUAGCAACAGUACUAAUUGGCCUACGAAACAAGCCAACCUCUUCACUAGCCCACCUCCUACCAGAAGGGACCCCAACACCCCUAAUCCCAAUCCUAAUCCUAAUCGAAACAAUUAGCCUACUCAUCCGACCAAUCGCACUUGCCGUACGACUCACAGCCAAUCUAACCGCAGGACAUCUUCUAUUACACCUAAUCUCCACUGCGGCACUUAGCCUAAUGACAACUUCCACGCUACUUGCCGGACUAACCCUAAUCAUUCUAACCCUAUUAAUGCUCCUAGAAAUUGCAGUAGCAAUAAUUCAAGCAUACGUGUUUACCCUACUACUCUCACUAUACCUGCAAGAAAACGUAUAAUGACCCACCAAACACACCUAUUCCACAUAGUCAACCCAAGCCCCUGGCCAAUCAUGGGGGCUAUGGCUGCCAUAAUAUUAACAGUCGGGCUGGUCCUAUGAUUCCACUGUAAUUUAAACCUAAUUUUACUUCUAGGACUAACCUCCACAUUACUAAUUAUAUUUCAGUGGUGACGAGAUAUUGUCCGAGAAAGCACCUAUCUAGGCCACCAUACCCCUCCAGUCCAAAAAGGACUACGAUAUGGCAUAAUCCUAUUCAUCACCUCAGAGGUCUUCUUUUUCCUUGGGUUCUUCUGAGCGUUCUAUCACUCAAGCUUAGCACCAACCCCAGAACUAGGAGGACAAUGACCACCAACGGGAAUUACCACACUAGACCCAUUCGAAGUCCCACUUCUCAACACAGCAGUACUACUAGCCUCAGGAGUUACAGUAACAUGAGCCCAUCACAGCCUAAUAGAAGCCAACCGAGCAUCUGCCAUCCACGCCUUAAUCCUCACGAUUAUUCUAGGGCUAUACUUCACUGCCCUUCAGGCAAUAGAGUACUACGAAGCCCCAUUCACCAUCGCAGACAGCAGCUAUGGGUCAACCUUCUUUGUUGCCACAGGCUUUCACGGCCUACACGUCAUUAUUGGAUCAACAUUCCUAAUAACCUGCCUCUAUCGACAAACCAUACACCACUUCACCUCGAACCACCAUUUCGGUUUCGAAGCUGCCGCUUGAUACUGACAUUUCGUAGACGUAGUCUGACUGUUCCUAUACAUCUCAAUCUAUUGAUGAGGCUCCUGCUCUUCUAGUAUUGACAAUACAAAUGACUUCCAAUCAUUAAACCCUGGUAUUAUCCUCAGGGAAGAGCAAUAAACCUACUUACCGCGCUCAUAUUAGCCACAGCUACUGCAGUAGCCGUAAUUACCCUAAAUCUAUUAAUAUCAGAGAUGACCCCAGACCCAGAAAAGCUUUCACCAUAUGAAUGCGGAUUUGACCCGCUGGGGUCCGCCCGCCUGCCGCUAUCUAUCCGCUUUUUCAUAAUCGCUAUUUUAUUCUUACUGUUUGACUUAGAGAUCGCCAUCCUACUACCGCUAGCAUGGGCCCUGCAACUCACAAGCCUAAUAAAAAGUAUCACAUGGGCCAUCAUUGUCUUUAUGCUUAUAUUUGCAGGCCUAACAUACGAAUGACUACAAGGCGGACUAGAAUGAGCAGAGUAGUCUCUAACCAAAGGAGCUAGUCCAAGCUAAGACUUCUAGCUUCGGCCUAGAAAAUCAUGACCAACUUCAUGGCUCCCUAUUGACCUCGCCUACUAACCUGUUAUUUACCUUCUCUUUCAUUAUCUUCACCAUUGGAUUUACCUUCCGCCACACUCAUCUCCUCUCAGCCCUAUUAUGCCUGGAGGGUAUGAUACUAUCGGUGUUUUUACUAAUAGCAACAUGGUCUCUAAGCUCAAACAUCUCCUCUUUCAUCCUUCCUUUAACAGUUCUAACACUAUCAGCCUGUGAAGCUGGCAUCGGCCUCGCCCUACUGAUCGCCUCAGCCCGAACACACAACACAGCCAACCUCAAAAACCUAAAUCUGCUCCAAUGUUAAAAAUCAUUGUACCCACAAUAAUACUAAUUCCCUCAACCUGCCUGACAGCCACAAAAAACACCUGAUUAUCGCCAACAGCCUACUCAGCAGUUAUUAUUAUCCUAGGCAUACUUGUCUUAAACCCCGGAGACACCCUGAUGAACACUACUGGUCUACUACUAGGAAGUGACCAAAUCUCAACACCCUUACUUAUACUAUCCUGCUGACUACUACCACUAAUAUUUAUGGCUAGCCAAAGCUCCAUGUCACACAACCCUGCCCAACAAAAACGACUGUUUAUCACAGCCCUAGCCCUCCUACAAUUAGCCUUAAUAUUAGUAUUCAUGGCCUUAGACCUAAUGUUAUUCUACACCACCUUUGAAGCAACCCUUAUUCCCACCCUAAUAGUGAUCGCCCGAUGGGGAUCCCAAACAGAACGACUCGGAGCCGGACUAUAUUUCCUCCUAUACACCAUCACUAGCUCCAUACCCCUUCUAAUCGCACUUCUAUGGGUGUAUAACAUAAAAGGAACUGCGUCUAUUACACUCUUACAGCUACUCCCCCCAAUAACCCUAACAUUCUGAACAAACACGCUACUAUGAACCUCACUCAUAUUGGCCUUCCUAGUAAAAAUCCCAAUUUACGGCCUCCACCUUUGGCUACCAAAAGCCCACGUAGAAGCCCCAAUUGCCGGAUCCAUGGUCCUUGCAGCAAUCUUAUUAAAACUCGGGGGUUAUGGCCUGCUACGAAUUACAAACCUAUUAACUGAACAAACUACAUCCUCUUAUAUUCUCCCACUGGCAGUAGCACUAUGGGGUGCACUCAUAACCGGCAUAGUCUGCCUACGACAAACAGAUUUAAAAUCCCUAAUUGCCUACUCCUCAGUAAGCCACAUAGGACUAAUAACAAGCUCGAUCCUCACUCACAAUCAACUAGCCCCAUCAGGAUCAAUAAUUAUAAUAGUGGCCCACGGCCUUACAUCUUCGAUACUAUUCUGCCUGGCAAAUAUUAAUUACGAACGAACACACUCACGAACCCUAUUACUUACACAAGGGGUACAACUAACCACCCCAGCCAUGACGUCCUGAUGACUCCUAGCCUGCUUAACAAACAUAGCACUUCCCCCAACAAUUAAUUUCAUUGGGGAACUCACCCUUAUAGUCUCACUAUUUGACUGAGCAGACAUUACUAUCUUUCUAACAGGACUAAGCGCAUUCAUCACCUCAAUCUACACCCUACACAUAUUCUCCUCAACCCAACAGGGAACCCUUCCAACCCAUAUUAUUACAAUAAGUCCAACCCAAACUCGAGAACAUCUACUAAUAACACUGCACUCCGCACCAUCAAUCGCUUUAAUCUUUAUACCUCAACUAAUAUACUACCAAUAAGCCGUGACGGCUGACAAGAGCACACAGCCAUGAGAGUAUCCACAAGAACUGCUAAUUCUGUCCCCCGGAUUUAAUUGCCCGGCUCUCAUAUUACGUAGUACUGGCCCGUAGAUAUAGUUUAAACAAAACGUUAGAAUGUGGACCUAAAAACAGGAACUCACUCACUCCUUAUCUACCA
rnacentral:tRNA from 1 species